CUUGGUGGGUUCCGGCCAUCAGGGAGCCCCGCCGCCAAUCCCCAGCCUCAAGAAGAAACCACUGCAAGCUGCCCCAAGGGUGGGCAAGAGGAAGAGAAAUGGUUGACCAGGAGUCACAAGUCCAGAUGCCAGGCAGCGCUAUGCUGCUGCACUCUGUCGCAUCUGCCAGCCACUCUGGAGGAUGCUCUUGCUUUCUCGCCUGCUGAAAUAAGCCUCAAUGACUGGCUUGCCCUGUUUGCAUCCUGCUGUGACUUCUUCUGGAUCAGAAGUUAGAGAUGGAGUGCAGGAGGAGACACAUUUCCCCACCCACGACUUCAGUAAUAUUAGUAAUUAAGUUUGAAAUAAAAGAAAUUAUGAUUGCCAAUGGCUGUGGAUACCAAGUAAAAUCAGGAAUAAGUAGAGAAUUAAAGCCAAUGAAAUGGA